AUAUCGUAAGAGUUGCCAUUUAUGAAUUUUCAACAUGGCAUAUCCGAUAAGCUAUGAUGGUAGACGAAUAAAAGAAGUACUAUCAUACCUUCUUCAGCAUAUAUGAUGCAAUAACUCGUUCUCAUUUCCUUCAAUGAGAUGAGAGAGAGAGAGAGARAGAGARAGAAUAUAUGCAUCAAGAAAUUAUCGUGUCGCUCUUAAAAGUCGAUUCCAGCGUAUAUUGUUAUGGAUCUAGCAAUAUGCCAUAGUUGGAAAGAAAGAUAGGCGAUAAUGAUGCAUAUAAAGGAUUU
rnacentral:rRNA from 1 species